rnacentral:miRNA from 1 species
AGCGCUCUGAGAUCGCAGUGACAGGCUGUCACUGCGAUCAGAGCACUCUGAGAUCGCAGUGACAGCCUGUCACUGCGAUCUCAGACU